rnacentral:rRNA from 1 species
UACGUAGGGGGCAAGCGUUGUCCGGAAUCAUUGGGCGUAAAGAGCGCGUAGGCGGCCCGGUAAGUCUGUUGUGAAAGUCCAGGGCUCAACCCUGGAAAGCCGAUGGAUACUGCCGGGCUAGAGUUCGGAAGAGGCGAGUGGAAUUCCUGGUGUAGCGGUGGAAUGCGCAGAUAUCAGGAGGAACACCUAUAGCGAAGGCAGCUCGCUGGGACGACACUGACGCUGAGACGCGAAAGCGUGGGGAGCGAACAGG